AAAACUCUCCUCCGCAUCCUUUCUUUUCCUCUGGCUCUUCUCCUCUCUCCUUUCCCUGACUCUUCUCGUCGCUUCCUCCACCUUCCCCUCGACAGUUUUCAUCCUCUCGAUGCUAGCAGGGGCGACGGUGACUGGUGCCAGCGGCGCGCCGUGGCCGCCCUCCUCCUCUUCCUCCAUCUCCUCCCCCUCCUCCUCCUCCUGCUCCUCUAUCGCCUCCCCUUCUUCUCUCUCCCAUGCCCUCCCGAUGCGGCGGCGGGCGGCGCGGCCAGGUCGUGCGGUCGGCCCGAGGCGGCACGCCGGUGCCUCUGCCGCCCCCUCCCCCACCCUCACGUCCUCUCCCACCGACUUGCUUGCCCCCCGGCACUGCCUCCUUCCUGCGGUUCAUGCCUUCCCUGCUCACCGAAACCCUAGCUCUUGUGCCGUACACGGGUGACCACGCCUGCGAGUGCCUUCUUCCUCGCCAGCAGCAACCACAGCGGUUCAGCUCUACUCUUGAAUCAGCUAUAGAGGAUUGCCUUGCGUUACGUCAUACGGCUAUUGUGCUUUUACUCAGAUCACUUCUCAUUUUUAGGCUUGCCUUGCGUCAUACAGCUAUUGUGCUUUUCCUUAGUUCACUUCUCAUUUUUACGCUCAUCUUGUUGUACCGCAAUUUUGCUAUGUGUUCUAUUGCAGUAGGUGUAGGGGCAGGAUGCCUAUUACCUGUGCAGGUACAUUUGUAAGAUGUGCAUACAAGCAUCUUUCUGUGAGCCAUGUUCACAUAUCAUUGGAAACAGAGGUUCCUUGUGUAAGAUUUUUUCGAUCGACACUUCCUCCAAAUUUGAGCAUUGGUCUUUAUUGACCUUUACAGAGAGACCAAGGACAUCCAAUAUUUCUAUGGAGAUGGCAACCUUUAAAGACAAUAUUCCAGGUAUUAUUCGGAAUGGUCACUCCGGAUAUGAAGCUUCCAUCUUUAUGGUAAACAAUGGCUUUGCCUGUGAGACAUUUUUACAACGUGAAGUCAAACUCCUAACAUGCACCUUCCAUCUCCAAUGCACUAUGGACUGGAUACAGGUUAAAUACUUACUGUUGUUUUUCAUUGAUUGAGUAUUAAUGAGGAUGGCACUACACAGGCUUUGGUCCUUGUGUAUGAUAAGGUUAAACAGUUACGACUGCCCUUUAUUGACACUGUAUCACUACCUUCUCUAAUUUGGGGCUAAAGCAAAAUUAGGUUCCACCUAGUGGUCUGCUGCAGGAUUUCGUAACAAUAAAGUGAAGGUCCAGAAAUGCAAGGACACGUGAAAAUAGCUUUGGGGUUAGAUUUAGCCUUACUGCUACAAUAUGAUUGCAUUUUUUAAACUCAAGAGUUCAGAUAAGCUAAAAUUCAACUUUGUUCAUUGCUAUUUUGUUGCUAUUUCUUUUGGUCGGUUCUGAUGCUUUCGUGGAAUUUUUUUUGGCAGGGAGUGAGAUGGCUUAUCCUUUGUCCAUCAUCUUAGGGUGUCAGCUAAUAUGUAGCGCUCAACCUUUGGUAUGUUACGGUGGCGUAUUCUGCAUUCCUUUGGUCAUCGGCGGGGGUUCUUACCUGCUCUGGUCAGCUGUUUUGGGUUACUUUGUCUUCUUUUGCUCUUAGUACCCAUACCUUAGUUAUGCAUUGUUUUAGUGGUGUUAUCUUUACAGAUGACUGCAACACAGCCUUUGCUAUAGUGCUUAUCCAUAAAAUAAAAAGGUUUCCUGAAGCAAAUUCCUGACCUUGUCUGUGUGUGUAUAUAUAUUCUAUUCUGACCUAUGUAAAAAUAAAUAAAAUAUUCAGUUCCUUUGUAUGACAUAUAUAUUAAAUUCCUAUC